rnacentral:tRNA from 1 species
GAGACUAUAGUAUAUUUAAAAGUACACCUUGUUUACACCAAGGUAGACCCCUCUUGUGGGGUAGUCUCU